GUGGGCUCUGUGCUGACAGGCUGACAGCAGUGGGCCCAAUGUGGGGCUCGAACCCACGAAUGGCGAGAUCGUGACCUGAGCCGAAACCGGUCGCUCAACCGACGGAGCCACCCAGGUGCCCCCAGAAAUCGGAAGUUUAAUUUGGCACAACUACUGUCGCAGCCAAGAAGCAGGAGAAAAUCUGAAGUCAAGGACCUGAUCCGUUCAGUCCUUCUGGUGGUUGGAGAAGAGGACGCAAUUCAACCUAUGAUAGCCUACCUCAUGCUGUCGUACCCAGACUGCUUUCCAUUGCCUACAAAACUUACAAAGAUGCAACAAGCUGGAUCCAUCAUUCAAACUACCCAUCUGAUACAAAAAAAAAAAAAAAAGUGUGUGCAUCCAAAGUGUCCUCUGAAAGAACGACAUGUAAGCAGAGAGAAGCUGUUAACCUGGAGGCUUCAUAUUAAAUGGGAAAUGGAAACAGCAGAGCCAAUUAUAGGUACAUUUCUGCUUGUUGAGGAGACUUCAAAAUAGAAGUUUUUUUUAAAAAUCUGCCUCUAAAGAUUUUCUUUUCAGUAAAACUGAAAAAAAUAUGUGAUAGGCCAUAUAUAAAAAAGAACAUCCAUCCUGCCUGCCAAAGUAAUCGUUCACUUCCCCUUCCCAGAUUCCAGGCACAGGAUAAUUGCCUCUCGGAGAUGCUUUGUUGUUUUAGGCGUUCUAAAUAAACCUCUCUCCGGUGGCCCCUCUUAACAGCAGCACCCCCCAGGAACCCGCCAUUGAGCCUUGAAACUGUAAUUUGUUUCAGGCACUCCGAGCAAAAUACAUUGUCUCCCAAUCUCUAAACUUGAUAAUUAGGUGUAUUUAGUUAGAGUUAAAAAUAAAAUAAAGUGGAAAGUUAUCCAGGUGCAAGUUAUCAACCUGAAGAGAUGGCAGAACAGAGCGGGGGACUUCAGAAAGCAGACACAUUUUUGGUGCGCGUCACAUGUUGCAGACACUUUGCUGAGUGCUUUAUCCAACGUACCUCUUACUUCUUCCCAGUGAUCCGUUUAGGUAUGUAUUUUAUGGAUGUUGAGGGAGCGGAAAUGACUUAUGCACCAAGUAAAUGGUAGAAGUGGGAGUCAAACCCACAUUUGUUUGAGUCCAAAGCUUACAUUCCUUCCACUCAUUUCCAGCAAUUGAGGCAUAGGAAGAGAAUGUGCAGAGCAUGCCAAUUUAAUUUUUUAACCCAUUGCAUUCUGGUCCCUGGCGUCUUGAUAUCAGAAUUCUGUCUCUGCUACAUCUCACCCUGCACCCUUGACCCAUAAAGCCUUUACAGGCAUUCUAGUAUCCAUUCUUUAGGGCGUGCUAUUCUUGCCUAGAAUGUCCAUUUCUGCUCCUCUCUCUCCGCAAGGUUCUUAACUAGGUGCAGUGACACUCUUCUAGGAGACGUGGGAAAGUCUGUACGGAGUUUAUGGUUGUCAUGAUGGGGGUGCUAUAAGCACCGGAAGCUGGAGCUGCUUAGCAGUCUGCGAGGCCAUGCCUCCUGGACAGCCCUGGACAGCAGAGAACCGCUCUGUAAAAUGUCUAUUGAGCCCCACCAGGAGCGUUGACCCUGAAUGUCACUCAUCCCUCCAGCGCCACCACCUGCACGAAGUGGUUAAUGUCCCAUACCCUUGGACCUGAAAUGAUGUGCCCCUCCUCAGGAAUUCAGAAAGUCUU